rnacentral:lncRNA from 1 species
GGGCAGAAGAGGGCCAAGGAGGGCUGAAUGCAGCUCAGGGAGGAGGCACUGUGGGUGAGGCCAAAAAAUGAGGUUCUGAGGUCCCUCCUCACACUGCGUGUGCCCCAGGCCUGUGCUAAAGGGUUUCGCAAUCAGAUCACUACUCUCAGCACUGAGCAGCCCUGGCUUUGCCCAGGCCUCCAGCAGGCUACAUUCUUUCCCUACCUCACAGUCAGUGGCCCGACCGACUGUUCUUUUCCAGCUCAUGCUCACUCUGCUACUGGGCCCUCUGGGGAAAAUACACCCCACAGACCAGUGAGAUGGCUUAGCAGGCAAAGGUGCUUGGUACCAAGCCUGAUGACAUGAGUUUCUGAUCCCUGGGACCCACGUGGAGGAACGAAAGAACCAGUUAACCACAAGCUACCCUCUGACCUUCACAAAGGCACCAUGACAGAGCGUCCACCACCCCGCUAGACUAUUCGAGCGAGCACACACGCACGCACAAAAAAAUAAAUGUAAACAGGAAAAAAAAAGAAAAGAAAAGGCACCGUCAUCCUAAUACAUCAAGGCAUGAACAGUGCACCAAGAGCAGAGAUGAACUCAUUGAUUCCCCAGGGCUGUUAAACUUCAACCCUCUGGGGCAAGUGAUCCAUUGAGCCUCUCUGCUGGGUCCCCCGACUCUUCCCGAGGUGCAUGUCCCCCUUUUCUACCCCUUUCCUGGCUUGUUCUAAGCAGCCCUGCCCUCAGCAGAGGAACACCUAUGGGCAGACUUCCUUCCAGGUUGCCCUGGGGGUGGUCCUUGGUGGAUGUCCAGUUGUUGCCCCUAAAAGAUCUGCCAGGAGCAUCUCCCCUGACACAGGCAAUGCUCCUUCGUCCCUUGAUGGUGGGCCUUGCUCAUUUCCUACUCUUCUA